CUGUGUUUAUCCAAUAUCCAUUAAAGACAGGGUCCCACCAGAAGCAAAACCACUCAUAGGUUUAGCUGUACAGUAUUCCAUCACCCAAAACCACCUUACUCACAUGUUUUACCCCUCUGCCCCCUGUUUCCUCUAUAAAGACACACAGAUUAGUAGUUUCCUAGUCCCAACAACUUAAGACAUGAGUUACUUCUUACGCAUCUGGAUGUCCAACACUGUGGCCACGGCAAUGGAAGAACCCACCACCAAGAGUUGCAGAAGGUUAUUCUCCGGCAGAGACUGUUCGGAGACCAGAGCUACCAGGUUGAGUGACGUGACCGGUCGACGAGUUCAACCAGAUGAGUCUCUCAGAAUAGUUAUGUAUUUCAGUUGCUGGGGUCAGGGAUAGCAUCCUCUGUUUGGCGUCUCACCAAAUGGACGGAAUCGAUGGCGACCAACUCCUCUGAACCUGAGAGGGCCUUCAGGAUACCUCUCACACAACUCCAUGCGGUUGAAACAGUCUGCAAGAUACACUCCUUGCUGUGCAGCUACCUAUAGUGAUUCAAAAUUGGAAGGCAUCACAGAGCACAAGUAAGAUGACCCUUUUGACAAGGAAAAGUUUCAACACAUCAAGCACUAUUGAGAAGUAGUGUUUGCUGUAUGCACUUGUACCUGAGCUGUGGCAGGAAGAUUUUUCAUCUGAGAGUCUACUUUGGAAAGGGCUUCUUUGAAGUAUUCAAUGUCCACAGAAAUGCCGCUUUCUUGGGAUUUCUUUAGCAAGCUGGCCAUGUCUUUCAUUUGGUUCUUCUUUAAAUAAAUUUCCACUUGAGGGUACCUUUCAAUAAUGUCAUCAACAACGUCUUUAAAUGCUUUAAGAUCUAAUUUUCCGGAA